ACCAUAUUAACUUGGAAGCAGUAAACAACGACGGUGUUGUGCACCACAAGAUUAAUUGUCACAAAAUCACAUUUAAAAAUAUACACUACAUGCACUCAAGGCCACUACGGUAUUAGAAAUACAUCUGGCAUACCUUCUCUAUCUCAUCUUGGUCCUUUCGUGUAAACCCACUAGCAGCAAGUUCCCUGUCCAGGAAUCCAGCUGAUUUUGCUACGGAAGAAAAGGAGGGCCUGCCAUUUUCCUCAGCAUCAGAUUCUGAACUACCACCCACUCCUCUGUCCUCUUGAUCCGAAAGAUUAAACCUGGAAAAGGAGAAAAUGUAGAAUCAUACAUGCUCUUAAUAUUUAGGAUCCAAUGUACAGGUCUGUGGUGCCCAUGCACGGAAAAGUGCAUCAGAAAAUAUAUCAGGAAGAAGGAAUAGCUUCAACAAAAAAUGUACAACAUAAAAUUUGAACAUUGUAUGGUGGCAUUGUAGGUGGCAUUUAGUGACCCAAAACUAUGAUGAUUAUAGAUCACCAAUGAUCCUCAUCCUAGGGUAAUUUGAUUCCCAAUGAUCUAAAGAUCACCACAUUUGAUAUACUAUGUUCCAAUGAUUAAAGAUUGAUCAUCCAUAUGAAACCUAUUUGGAAUGCCAUGGAAAUUCAAGACCACUAACCACAUAAUACCAAAAUUACCCUAGAUCCAUUCCACAUAUUUUGCAACUACUAAGCAGAAUUCUCAAAUAAAUCAUAGGAAAACGUACAACAAUGACUAGCAGUAGGUCCAUGCAACAUGUAGAGUUGUUUGCACAGGCCAAUUAAAAUUUUGACAACAAAAUUACUAAUCCUAUAGAAAAAUAU
rnacentral:lncRNA from 1 species